rnacentral:rRNA from 1 species
AGCAGCCGCGGUAAUUCCAGCUCCAAUAGCGUAUAUUAAAGUUGUUGCAGUUAAAAAGCUCGUAGUUGAAUUUCGGGAUCAAUAUGUUGGUCGUGCCUUGGUACGUACUGGCAUUAUUGGUUUCUACCUUCUGAAGAACCUCGAUGUCAUUAAUUUGGUGUCUUGGGAAAUCAGGACUGUUACUUUGAAAAAAUUAGAGUGUUUAAAGCAAGCUCGCGCUUGAAUACAUUAGCAUGGAAUAAUGAAAUAGGACGUUUUGAUUCUAUUUUGUUGGUUUCUAGGAUCGACGUAAUGAUUAAUAGGGAUAGUUGGGGGCAUUAGUAUUCAAUUGUCAGAGGUGAAAUUCUUGGAUUUAUUGAAGACUAACUACUGCGAAAGCAUUUGCCAAGGAUGUUUUCAUUAAUCAAGAACGAAAGUUAGGGGAUCGAAGACGAUCAGAUACCGUCGUAGUCUUAACCAUAAACUAUGCCGACUAGGGAUCGGAUGAUGUUAAUUUUUAAUGACUCA